AAAAAAUCUUCUAGCGAGGUUCUAGCCGCCCGUACCCCAAACCGACUCAGGUGGUUAGGUAGAGAAUACCAAGGCGAUCGAGUGAAUCGUGGUUAAGGAAUUCGGCAAAAUACCCCCGUAACUUCGGGAGAAGGGGGGCCCAGAGGGUGACGGGACUUGCUCCCCGAGCCUGAACGGCCGCAGAGACCAGGGAGAAGCGACUGUUUACUAAAAACACAGGUCCGUGCCAAGUCGCAAGACGAUGUAUACGGACUGACGCCUGCCCGGUGCUGGAACGUUAAGGGGACCGGUUAGCCUCACGGCGAAGCUGAGAACUUAAGCGCCAGUAAACGGCGGUGGUAACUAUAACCAUCCUAAGGUAGCGAAAUUCCUUGUCGGGUAAGUUCCGACCUGCACGAAUGGCGUAACGACUUCUCCACUGUCUCAACCACGAACUCGGCGAAAUUGCACUACGAGUAAAGAUGCUCGUUACGCGCAGAAGGACGGAAAGACCCCGGGACCUUUACUACAGCUUGGUAUUGGUGUUCGGUACGGCUUGUGUAGGAUAGGUGGGAGACUGUGAAGCUGACACGCCAGUGUCGGUGGAGUCAACGUUGAAAUACCACUCUGGUCGUUCUGGAUAUCUAACCUAGGUCCGUAAUCCGGAUCAGGGACAGUGCCUGGUGGGUAGUUUAACUGGGGCGGUUGCCUCCUAAAAGGUAACGGAGGCGCCCAAAGGUUCCCUCAGCCUGGUUGGCAAUCAGGUUUCGAGUGUAAGUGCACAAGGGAGCUUGACUGUGAGACUGACAAGUCGAACAGGGACGAAAGUCGGGACUAGUGAUCCGGCGGUGGCUUGUGGAAGCGCCGUCGCUCAACGGAUAAGAGGUACCCCGGGGAUAACAGGCUGAUCUUGCCCAAGAGUCCAUAUCGACGGCAUGGUUUGGCACCUCGAUGUCGGCUCGUCGCAUCCUGGGGCUGGAGUAGGUCCCAAGGGUUGGGCUGUUCGCCCAUUAAAGCGGUACGCGAGCUGGGUUUAGAACGUCGUGAGACAGUUCGGUCCCUAUCCUCUGCGCGCGCAGGAAACUUGAGAAGGGCUGUCCCUAUUACGAGAGGACCGGGAUGGACGAACCUCUGGUGUGUCAGUUGUUCUGCCAAGAGCACCGCUGAUUAGCUACGUUCGGGAGUGAUAACCGCUGAAAGCAUCUAAGCGGGAAGCAUGCUUCAAGAUGAGGUUUCCAUGGGGUUUACCCCGAGAGGCUCCCAGCUAGACUACUGGGUUGAUAGGCCGGAUGUGGAAGUGCGGUAACGCAUGGAGCUGACCGGUACUAAUAAGCCGAUAACUUGACC
rnacentral:rRNA from 1 species